GGGCCCAUCGUCUUGCAGAGCAUACACUUCCUUCCACUGAGCAGGACAGCACGCGAAUAUUCGGCGUCCGAGUGCACUGGACAUUACUUGCUCCACUCUGAGUACCGGCACAAGCGCUCCUCAGGAGACAUACGCCUGGGGGUCGCAGAAGGGCAAGGUUUCCAAACGCACUGCUGCACGCCGACGACACUCCCCUUACUCACACUCACCCUACAAAGCAAGAUCGUAGGCGGUCCGCGGGGCGCGGGGGGUAGCAACAGGUAUCGAAGAUUACCCUCCUUUUUCCGCAUCCGACCAAGUAGAAACUCCAAAUAGCACCGUGCACGCUUGCGAUGAGCACAACGCGGCGGCCCGCUGGGCCCGGUGGGCUCAGCAGCAACAGCGUUGUUGUGCCGCGCGCAGGCGGAUCGCUGAACACCACACCACGCUCCGCCACACAUCUGGCCAGCACCGACACUAGAAAGGCGGACGGCAGAGAUCUGAUUGUGACGCGCGGGCUGCAGCAAUUGCUGGAGAACGAGCGCAAGCACCGUCAGGCCGAGGAGAGCAUGCUCGGCCCCGCGCUGGGUGGAAAGUCAAAGGCGAAGGGGCAGCGCCGCAGCGUUGGCCAGGCACCCAAAUUCAUUAUCUGUUACCUGUGCGGGCGGCAGUUCGGCACCGCCAGCAUUGACAUUCACCGACCCCAGUGUUACCUGAAGCGACUGAUUGUCUGGGAGCGUGGUGACCCGGCUAUUCGCGGCCCGAAGCCGUUGAGCCCGAAGGAGCACGGGAAAAUGAUGAAGGCGCGCACGGCGAACGCGGAGGCCGCUGGUGGGCCCGCCACAGGAGGCGGCUACUCCUGCACCGGUCGCAUUGGCGGCGGCGGAUUUGGGAGGCAGGCACCUUUGAAUGACGUGGAGCUCUACAACCAAUUGCAGAUGGAAGCAUUCAACGACACGGCGCUCUCGCCCUGCCCUAACUGCGGCCGCACGUUCCUACCAGACCGUCUGCAGGUUCACCUGAAGAGCUGUAGGCCUGGAAAAACGGCAAAGCCGAUCCCAACAGCCGCCUCCCGUGUUGCUCCUCCCGUUGCCACGCCGUCGGCGCCGACUACAAGCGCCUCUCCCGUCUCGGCGAAGGACAGACGCAUCAGGGCGGCAAGUGCGUACAAGGUACCCGCAAACGCCGGCGCGGGUGACGUGGCCCGUGGUGCCGACCCCUCUCCCAAGCCGUCAGACCACACCAUGUCGAGCUACACCCUCCCGAACGAGGAGAACGCGGAGGACCAGAUGCCGCCCACCAACGCGUCGUCGUCGCGGAAUCCGGGCCGCGCCGGGAGCGAGUCGAACACACGCGUCCUCGCUGGUAACGCCCCGAACGGUGCAGCCGCAGCUCCCAAGGCACCGAGCCGCGACGUAAUCGAGUUGGUGGUUGAGAUGGAUGUGGAGGACACGAAUCCGCCCUCGCCGCGUGCCGACACCGAGCAGCGCCUCUCCUUCGUGGCAAUGACGGGUGCCGACCCGGAUAUGCUUGGCUCCUCGGCGCCGAACCGACCGGCUUUGAUGGAGCCGAGCGUGGCGCCGCCGCCCACCUCCUCGCCCCCGGGCACAAAUGCGCACGCGAACGGCAGCGGCAGCAACGGCGCCGGCAACGCGCCCCUCUCACAGAGUACUUGGCGAGAUAGCGCGGCUGGCAGUCAACCGCAAGGGCACGGCACGCCUAGCACUGUGCGCGCUGCGGACGCGUCUGGGGUGACAGAGGAGAAACAAGCCGAAGACUCCUUCGGGACAAAUGUGCACUACAACCCCGCUACCGAGCAUGACCUCGCCGUGCGCGGCGGCCUUGAGGGUGGCGCGGAGGGGGAGCACAACAUCGCUAAAAAGAUUCGGCUGAAUAACGUAUCCCAUUUCAAGAACGUGCCGUCGCGGCUGAAUUUGCAGCGGCAGUCGACGGAGGCGGAUCUCGUGCCGUGCACGUACUGCGGGCGCAAAUUUCUGCCGGAGAGGGUGCAGAAGCACGAGGACUGUUGUAUCGAUCGAAGCAAGCCUUUGGCGGCGCGGAAGGGCGGGACGCUGCCGGUGCCGCCGAGCACGGGUGCAGCGACCCCAAGGCGUGCGAAGCUGACACCGGCAGCGCCGGCCGUCGAGAGCGCUGCGACGGGCAAAGCGAAGUUUUGCGGGGGCUGCGGCUGCAAAAUUUCUGAAUCCGAUCAGAAGUUUUGCACCGAGUGCGGGCACAAGCUGUAACUCGUGUGUGAUCAAGAGUGGGGGAGGUAGAUGUAGGGAUGAGGCGAAAGGGCAAGUAGGGGGGGGGAGCCAGAAAAAGAAAGGGCUAGAGCCGAGAGCAGGGAGUAGUGGGUGAGGCGUGUGUGUGUGUCUCAGGCGCAUGGAUGGUAGUUGCUGCGUUCAUUUUUGCCGCGAUGCUUUCUCUCUCUCCCUGUCUGGGCUUGCGAUCUGGCGCCGAGCCCAGACAGGUUCGUUCUCUCACUUCCCGUUGCGUUUAUGAGCGUCUCUGGGCGCGUCUGGCUCAUCUUUUUCUUUUUUUUUUGGCUUCAAGGACGAUGAACGCCAGCGGACGUGUUGGGUAUGUGUGCUCGCUUGUGCGCGUAUUCCUCGCCAUGCAUGCGGAUGCGUACGGGCAUUGAUGUUCACGUGUGGUUGCCCGCACGUGUCUCUCCGCGCCCUCUUGCUGCCUCUGGACACCGUGGGCGAGAAUCGCAAGUGCACCACCGGAAGGAAUACGAGCGACUCCAUUUCUUGCUAACGCGUCUGCAUGGGCGAGCUGCAUAUGGGAUAGGCCAGCGCCCGCAGUCGACCUUCUCUUUUUUUUUGCUUUCCUUCUCCGCGCCCUUGUUUUUUGUAUUUUUUUUUCCGUUGUCGUCGUCAGACUCUCGCCCGCGCUGGUCUUUUGCCGUCAUGUGGCGUGAGCAUACGUGUGUGUGUGUGUGCGUGCACGUGUCUUGCGUAGGUGUGCUUUUCUCUCACAGUGUGUGCGCAUGUGUACACACACACACACACACAGGUAUAUGUAUACAUUUAAAUGCAUGUCUCUCUCUCUUUGUGUGUGUGUGUGCACGUUUUUGUCUGCGUCCCCUCCGCGGCCUCCUUUGUCUUACCUGCCCUCUCCCUCCCCCCACGCGCUGCCCAUCUUCCUAUUCGGGCCUCCCUUGCGCUCACCAGGAUCUUCACUCUCUCUGCCCCUCCCCUCUCUCUUUCUCCUGUUUUGCAGUGUUCUGCGUGCGUUGUAUCGUGGCAUAACACGCGUGCAUGCACUCCUUUACACUCGCACAGGCCACUGACCCUCACCGCCGCCUCUCUUUGUACAAGGUGCAGAGCAUCACCUCCGCUAGCAGGCAGACGAAACACCCCCUCCCAGAGCAUGCGGUUUCCCGCGUGUGUGUACGCCUGCACGUGUGUGCAUGCCCACAUGUAUGCUCAUGUUUUUUUCAUAACUCAUUCCAACACACACGCACAUCAACGUAGAACCAGGGGCUUCCUUUGUUUUUCUGUUUUCGUGUGUUUUGUUCCCUCUCCCCCUUUUCCAUUCUCCCUCAGCAGAUGCGCGUGUAGCUGUGCAUGUAUUCGCAUAUGUGUCUGUGUGUCGGCGCAACGGUAUACGCUCGAAUGUGCGGGUCGGAAUCGAAGCGUGGGUGAGAUUGUCCGUGCUGAUGUGUUCUCACGUGCGUGUGUCACUGCUCUUCGUACCUCCCCUAUUGCUUCAUAUAUAUAUUUUCGCUUGUGCUGUUGGUUUCGUAGCCCAGCUGUGUGAAAGUGAGGUGGCAAGCAACGAAGAAGCGGAAGCGUGCACACUACAGGCGUGCAGGCUCUCUCUCCUUCACGCUUCUCACGGUUUUUGAUCAGUCGCGACGGAGCGAUGAUGUCUAUUGGCAACUUUGCAUGCACAUCAGGC
rnacentral:misc_RNA from 1 species